AGGACGAACGCUGGCGGCGUGCUUAACACAUGCAAGUCGAGCGGUAAGGCCUUUCGGGGUACACGAGCGGCGAACGGGUGAGUAACACGUGGGUGAUCUGCCCUGCACUCUGGGAUAAGCCUGGGAAACUGGGUCUAAUACCGGAUAUGACCUGCUCUCGCAUGGGGGUGGGUGGAAAGAUUUAUCGGUGCAGGAUGGGCCCGCGGCCUAUCAGCUUGUUGGUGGGGUAAUGGCCUACCAAGGCGACGACGGGUAGCCGACCUGAGAGGGUGACCGGCCACACUGGGACUGAGACACGGCCCAGACUCCGUACGGGAGGCAGCAGGUGGGGAAUAUUG
rnacentral:rRNA from 1 species